UCGGAAUUGCUAGUAAUCGCGGAUCAGCAUGCCGCGGUGAAUACGUUCCCGGGCCUUGUACACACCGCCCGUCACACCAUGAGAGUCGGGAACACCCGAAGUCCGUAGUCUAACCGCAAGGAGGACGCGGCCGAAGGUGGGCUUGAUAAUUGGGGUGAAGUCGUAACAAGGUAUC
rnacentral:rRNA from 1 species